UACGUAGGGUGCGAGCGUUAAUCGGAAUUACUGGGCGUAAAGCGUGCGCAGGCGGUUCGCCAAGUCAGGUGUGAAAUCCCCGGGCUUAACCUGGGAAUUGCGCUUGAAACUAGCGGGCUUGAGUGUGGCAGAGGGGGGUGGAAUUCCACGUGUAGCAGUGAAAUGCGUAGAGAUGUGGAGGAACACCGGUGGCGAAGGCGGCAUCCUGGACCGGCAUUGACGCUGAGGCGCGAAAGCUAGGGGAGCAAACGGG
rnacentral:rRNA from 1 species